rnacentral:lncRNA from 1 species
AGGACUGGCUGCUCAAAGUAAUCUUGUCCUAAAAUGCAAAGAAGAGAAUGGAACCAGCUGUGGUAAGCAGGAGCCCCAUGCCUCAACCUCGACAGCUGCGUUGGAUGAUGGUAUCAACAAAGGAGGGGUAUCCAAUGCAGAAAAACCUGACCAAGACACAGAACUUGACCAAGCCCAAGAACCAGAUGAGGGUUCGAAUGUUGAAUUUGAGGAUUUGGAACAGUUGAUGUCUGAGAUUGGGAACAUGCGUGACAGUUUGAGAUUGAUGCCCGAUUUUCAGAGAAGAGAUAUGGCUGCAAAGCUGGCCAUGAAAAUGGCUACUAUGUUCGGGGGCGGCAGUGAUGAUGAAGUGGAAAGUAUCGGCGAGUAAAGUCCAUCAGCGUUUAAGAGGUGUAAGUAAUUACACAUCCCUGAAUCUCCUUCUUAUACUUUUGUCCACAAGCUGUUAAGGAAAGGGGAAUCAGCAGUCUUCUUUACGAAAAGAACGAGAUAGAUUGAGCUUUGUGGAAAUAUUUUGUUCAUUUGCCUGCUCUCCUGUACUGCAUAAGGAGGUUCAGAAUAGUCAAUACCUAUUACCCGUGCCCGAACCGAGCUGCUAGAAACUUAUGUGUUUAAUGAAACAGUGGAAAUGUUAGGAUUGUAUUCGAAAUUGGAGGGAAGAAUCAAUUAGAUAUCUUCUUGUAAACGUUUUUGUAUAAGCACAAGUACCCGUGGUGUGAUGAUGUUGCAAAACUUUGAUAUGUGAACCAACAUACAAAUUAGAACUUUCCUCCAAUGAUUGCUGCAAUUCUUACUUAGAGAUCACCCCAAAAAUAGAGAAUAGAGUGGCUUCAAUGCUAAGUAGCAGCCGUUAGAUUUCAUUUUCACAUAUGUCGAAAAUAUUUUAUUCUCAAUCUCUAUCAUUUAUUUUCCGUAUCACUUAGUGCUACAUACUUUUAUACUAAGUUGGAAAGCACCAAUCGCAACGCAAAAGAGUGGUAGGAGUGCUGGUAUUAUUAUUUCUUAUGAUGGCAUGAGGUGUGAACAUAGAGAGUUGUCAAAUUUGACUGCCGCUUUUGGCAAUCAUAAGAGAGAGGAGAGGACACAGUUGUAUGCAACUGACAACAUCCGAGAACUUUCUCCAGUGAAUAUGAAUGUUAAGCCGGAGAAAAUUUAUUUACCACUGAUUUUAUGAAACCACUAGAGAGAGACACAUUGUAUAUGAUCGAUACAUUUGAGAAUCUUCCUUAAUCUGUGUGAGUUUUUGCCAAAGAAAAUUUACUCUAUCACCGAUUGUAUAUGAUCAUGAAAAAGAUAUCAUACGUGUUGUAUGCCAUUAGUAAAAUUCGAGAAUUUCUCCAAUACAUGAGCGAGAGAUCACAUGUAGUUUUAUGCAACCGAGGACAUUCGAGAAUCUCCCAUGUGAAUAUGAGUUUCAUCCCGGAUGAGAUGUCAAGUUCUCGUUAGGCAGGAGUUUAGGAGUGGUUAGUGGUAAGGAGGAGCCCCAUGCCUCAAGCUCGACAGCUGCGUUGGAUGAUGGUAUCAGCAAAGGAGGGGUAUCCAAUGCAGAAAAACCUGACCAAGACACAGAACUUGACAUCUCCGUUAUAUAAUAAGAAGUAUCGGCAGUGGUGAUGAAGUGGAAAGCAUCGGCGAGUAAAGUCCAUCAGCGUUUAAAAGGUGCGUAAUUGCGCAUCCCUGAGUCUCCUUCUCGUACUAUUGUCCACAAGCUGUUAAGGAAGGGGGAAUCGGCAGUCUUCCUUACGAAAAGGAAAGAUAGGAUGAGCUUUUUGGAUAUAUUUUGUGCUUCAUGUACUCUGUUCUCGUGUACUGCAUAAGGAGGUUCAGAAGUCAAUACUAAUUACCCGUGCCCGAACUGAGUUGCUAGAACUUACGUGUUCAAUGAAACAGCGGAAAUGUUAGGAUUGUAUUCGAAUAUCGGAGGGAAGAAUCAAUUAGAUAUAUUCUUGUAAACAUUUUUGUAUGAUCACGAGUAGCUGUGGUCUCAUGACGUUGCAUGAUGA